GACGAACGCUGGCGGCGUGCUUAACACAUGCAAGUCGAACGGAAAGGCCCUGCUUUUGUGGGGUGCUCGAGUGGCGAACGGGUGAGUAACACGUGAGUAACCUGCCCUUGACUUUGGGAUAACUUCAGGAAACUGGGGCUAAUACCGGAUAGGAGCUCCUGCUGCAUGGUGGGGGUUGGAAAGUUUCGGCGGUUGUGGAUGGACUCGCGGCUUAUCAGCUUGUUGGUGGGGUAGUGGCUUACCAAGGCUUUGACGGGUAGCCGGCCUGAGAGGGUGACCGGCGACAUGGGGACUGAGAUACGGCCCAGAAUCCUACGGGAGGCAGCAGUGGGGAAUAUUGCACAAUGGGCGGAAGCCUGAUGCAGCAACGCCGCGUGCGGGAUGACGGCCUUCGGGUUGUAAACCGCUUUCGCCUGUGACGAAGCGUGAGUGACGGUAAUGGGUAAAGAAGCACCGGCUAACUACGUG
rnacentral:rRNA from 1 species